AACGCAGCUCUGAGCCAGACUUGGGGAGCUGCCCGAUAGGGUCACAGGGACGUGAGAGUGGGCCUGGGUCUCACGCCUUCUGACCCCCUGCCAGGCGGCCUCUCCCUCAUUUCAGCAGGAGGGCG
ensembl:miRNA